rnacentral:rRNA from 1 species
GAUCAUGGCUCAGGACGAACGCUGGCGGCACGCCUAACACAUGCAAGUCGAACGGAGAUAUUAGCUUCGGUUAAUAUCUUAGUGGCGGACGGGUGAGUAACACGUGAGCAACCUGCCUCUAAGAACGGGAUAGCUUCUGGAAACGGAUGGUAAUACCGUAUAAUGUAUUGGGAAGGCAUCUUUCUAAUACCAAAGAUUUAUCGCUUAGAGAUGGGCUCGCGUCUGAUUAGCUAGAUGGUG